rnacentral:rRNA from 1 species
GUUGCCCAAGGUAAUUUGGGCGGGGGGUUUAUUUGGGGGGGGGUCCGCCGGGGCCACCAACCGGGNAGGGANGGGGGGGAAUGAUCAACUAUUCAUCAGGGCUUAUAUUUCAAGGGGGAAACAAACAUGAAACCAUUGCCCGGGACCAAGGGUUCCAAACCUGCGAAGGGGAGCUUAAUCCCAGAAAACCGGCCUCAGUUCGGAUUGCAGUCUGCAACUCGACUGCAUGAAGGUGGAAUCGCUAGUAAUCGCGCAACAGCAUGGCGCGGUGAAUACGUUCCCGGGCCUUGUACACACCGCCCCUGAAUCACUAGUGAAUUC